rnacentral:rRNA from 1 species
GACGAACGCUGGCGGCGUGCCUAAUACAUGCAAGUCGAACGCAUUUUCUUUCACCGUAGCUUGCUACACCGAAAGAAAAUGAGUGGCGAACGGGUGAGUAACACGUGGGUAACCUGCCCAUCAGCGGGGGAUAACACUUGGAAACAGGUGCUAAUACCGCAUAAUUCCAUUUACCGCAUGGUAGAUGGAUGAAAGGCGCUUUUGCGUCACUGAUGGAUGGGCCCGCGGUGCAUUAGCUAGUUGGUGGGGUAACGGCCUACCAAGGCUGCGAUGCAUAGCCGACCUGAGAGGGUGAUCGGCCACACUGGGACUGAGACACGGCCCAGACUCCUACGGGAGGCAGCAGUAGGGAAUCUUCGGCAAUGGACACAAGUCUGACCGAGCAACGCCGCGUGAGUGAAGAAGGUUUUCGGAUCGUAAAACUCUGUUGUUAGAGAAGAACAAGGAUGAGAGUGGAAAGUUCAUCCCUUGACGGUAUCUAACCAGAAAGCCACGGCUAACUACGUG